rnacentral:rRNA from 1 species
CUACGGGGGGCAGCAGUGAGGAAUAUUGCACAAUGGGGGGAACCCUGAUGCAGCAACGCCGCGUGGAGGAUGACGCAUUUCGGUGUGUAAACUCCUUUUAUAUGUCAAGAAAAUGACGGUAGCAUAUGAAUAAGCACCGGCUAACUCCGUGCCAGCAGCCGCGGUAAUACGGAGGGUGCAAGCGUUACUCGGAAUCACUGGGCGUAAAGGACGCGUAGGCGGGCUUGUAAGUCAGGUGUGAAAUCCUACAGCUUAACUGUAGAACUGCACUUGAAACUACGAGCCUAGAGUAUGGGAGGGGGAGAUGGAAUUAGUGGUGUAGGGGUAAAAUCCGUAGAUAUCACUAGGAAUACCUAAAGCGAAGGCGAUCUCCUGGAACAUAACUGACGCUAAGGCGUGAAAGCGUGGGGAGCAAACAGGAUUAGAACCCUUGUAGUC